rnacentral:rRNA from 1 species
AGUGAACGCUGGCGGUAGGCCUAGCACAUGCAAGUCGAACGGCAGCACAGUAAGAGCUUGCUCUUACGGGUGGCGAGUGGCGGACGGGUGAGGAAUACAUCGGAAUCUACUUUUUCGUGGGGGAUAACGUAGGGAAACUUACGCUAAUACCGCAUACGACCUACGGGUGAAAGCAGGGGAUCUUCGGACCUUGCGCGAUUGAAUGAGCCGAUGUCGGAUUAGCUAGUUGGCGGGGUAAAGGCCCACCAAGGCGACGAUCCGUAGCUGGUCUGAGAGGAUGAUCAGCCACACUGGAACUGAGACACGGUCCAGACUCCUACGGGAGGCAGCAGUGGGGAAUAUUGGACAAUGGGCGCAAGCCUGAUCCAGCCAAACCGCGUGGGCGAAGAAGGCCUUCGGGUUGUAAAGCCCUUUUGUUGGGAAAGAAAAGCAGCAGGUUAAUACCCCGCUGUUCUGACGGUACCCAAAGAAUAAGCACCGGCUAACUUCGUG